GACGAACGCUGGCGGCGUGCUUAACACAUGCAAGUCGAACGGAAAGGCCCUGCUUUUGUGGGUGCUCGGGUGGCGAACGGGGGAGUAACACGGGAGUAACCUGCCCUUGACUUUGGGAUAACUUCAGGAAACUGGGGCUAAUACCGGAAAGGAACUCCUGCUGCCUGGUGGGGGUUGGAAAGUUUCGGCGGUUGGGGAUGGACUCGCGGCUUAUCAGCUUGUUGGUGGGGUAGUGGCUUACCAAGGCUUUGACGGGUAGCCGGCCUGAGAGGGUGACCGGCCACAUUGGGACUGAGAUACGGCCCAGACUCCUACGGGAGGCAGCAGUGGGGAAUAUUGCACAAUGGGCGGAAGCCUGAUGCAGCAACGCCGCGUGCGGGAUGACGGCCUUCGGGUUGUAAACCGCUUUCGCCUGUGACGAAGCGUGAGUGACAGUAAUGGGUAAAGAAGCACCGGCUAACUACGUG
rnacentral:rRNA from 1 species